GUUGGUUAUGGAUAAAGCUAACGGGACGCUCAUAACUAAAAGUCGACGUUGUGAUACAAACAUGCUCAAUUGUGUGUCAUUACUAGCGUCGGCCAUAAGCAACGUUAUAGUAUUGUGUACUUUUCCUUAUCGUCGAUUUGCUGUAACGCUAAACUUCUAGCGGUAACCAUGUGGCGUUGGAUAUAACCGGCGAUAUUUUUUUUUUACCUAAACCUAUUUAUGAUGAAACUUAUUUGUGGCGGCCUGAAUC
rnacentral:lncRNA from 1 species